ensembl:lncRNA
CUAUCCAUGGCCUACAACCUAUUAUUCCUUUACAUGGUCAUGAGGAAAUGUAUUUAUGUAGACAUCCAACCAGAAUGAAGACCUGUAAGAAGUUCCAUGGAAGAACUGCAGAACUGAAAAGGAGUAUAACCUACAAAUUCUUAUUGACUAGAAGUCUGUGAGAUAAUCAGAAGAUAUGGCUCUGCAUCAUAUGUAUGUACAGAAAAGUUGCCAAACCCUCUCUUGUGCUGCAUAAAACCCUUGCAUUCCAGACUUGAAACUUCAGUUCCUGAGUGUGUCAUCCAAACCUGGAAAAGAAAUGUAAGCAUAGUGACAGCUGCAACUGCACAAUCUACAAGUUUCACAGCAUACUUCAAAAAUCAAAAAACUAAACUUUUC